rnacentral:misc_RNA from 1 species
AAGACAAGGCUGAGUAGAACUAAAGCACGCAGCUCCCACCCCUUCCACAAUUUCCUCAACGUUGAAGGAAAUAUUUCCAUGUUUAAUUCUCCUAGCCUUAAAGUUACAUCAAGCUGCUAACAACUGAAAUUUGACAGACAAGUAUAGGAUAAUUAAGAAUGUGCAAGAUUUGGUGGAAUUAAGUGAAACGAACAAGUUAUGAAGAGUAUGAACUAGAUUGAUUGAAGCACAGGAACUCACUUGUGCUUAAGUUGUGUGUGUGUUGUACUAAAAAAUUGGCUUGCACAAAAUAAAUGAAUUACUUUAAUCUUCUCUUAAUUACUUGAAUGAAGAAACAGAGAAGUGGAAGUUAACAACAGUUCAUCAAGCCCACAGUACUGUCUCAGGCAGAUAUAUAGCUCCGGAAGACUUUGCCAAACAAAACCAAG